CACGUAGUUGCCGUGGCUUUCUGAUUAGGUACCGUCAAGAUGUGCACAGUUACUUACACAUUUGUUCUUCCCUAAUAACAGAGUUUUACGAGCCGAAACCCUUCAUCACUCACGCGGCGUUGCUCCGUCAGGCUUUCGCCCAUUGCGGAAGAUUCCCUACUGCUGCCUCCCGUAGGAGUCUGGACCGUGUCUCAGUUCCAGUGUGGCCGAUCACCCUCUCAGGUCGGCUACGUAUCGUCGCCUUGGUAAGCCGUUACCUUACCAACUAGCUAAUACGGCGCGGGUCCAUCUAUAAGUGAUAGCAAAACCAUCUUUCACUUUAGAACCAUGCGGUUCUAAAUGUUAUCCGGUAUUAGCUCCGGUUUCCCGAAGUUAUCCCAGUCUUAUAGGUAGGUUACCCACGUGUUACUCACCCGUCCGCCGCUAACUUCAAAGGAGCAAGCUCCUUAUCUGUUCGCUCGACUUGCAUGUAUUAGGCACGCCGCCAGCGUUCAUCCUGAGCCAGGAUCAAACUCU
rnacentral:rRNA from 1 species